UGCCAGCCGCCGCGGUAAUACGGAGGGGGUUAGCGUUGUUCGGAAUUACUGGGCGUAAAGCGCGCGUAGGUGGUUAAUUAAGUUGACUGUGAAAGCCCCGGGCUUAACCUGGGAUUGUCAGUCAAAACUGGCUAACUAGAGUAUGGGAGAGGGCAGUGGAAUUUCCGGUGUAGCGGUGAAAUGCGUAGAGAUCGGAAGGAACACCAGUGGCGAAGGCGACUGCCUGGCCUGAUACUGACACUGAGGUGCGAAAGCGUGGGGAGCGAACAGGAUUAGAUA
rnacentral:rRNA from 1 species